CGAACGGGUGAGUAACACGUAGGAACCUGCCAUGAAGUGGGGGAUAACGCGGGGAAACCGGCGCUAAUACCGCAUGAUGUGCGAGAGCAAGAAAGCAGCAAUGCGCUUUAUGGGGGGCCUGCGGCCGAUUAGCUAGUUGGUGAGGUAAAGGCCCACCAAGGCGACGAUCGGUAGCUGGUCUGAGAGGAUGGUCAGCCACACUGGGACUGAGACACGGCCCAG
rnacentral:rRNA from 1 species